rnacentral:misc_RNA from 1 species
AACCAUAGAAACCUGCGGAGUACCUGCGGAAGGAUCAUUACCGAAUUUUAUAAUACAAUAAUGAAUAUGUUGAACCACCGGGUAGAGAAAUGGAAUGUAAUUUUUUACAUUCAUUUAUAUUUCUCUCUCAUUCAUUAAAAAACAUGUUUUACAAUCAUGGACAAAUAAAUUAUAUAUAAUCCAAAACAAAAAACUUUCAACAAUGGAUCU